GACGAACGCUGGCGGCGUGCCUAAUACAUGCAAGUAGAACGCUGAAGGAGGAGCUUGCUUCUCUGGAUGAGUUUCGAACGGGUGAGGAACGCGUAGGUAACCUGCCUGGUAGCGGGGGAUAACGAUUGGAAACGAUAGCGAAUACCGCAUAAUAACAGUUGUUGCAUGACAACUGUUUGAAAGGUGCAAUUGCACCACUACCAUAUGAACCUGCGUUGUAUUAGCUAGUUGGUGGGGUAACGGCGCACCAAGGCGACGAUACAUAGCCGACCUGAGAGGGUGAUCGGCCACACUGGGACUGAGACACGGCCCAGACUCCUACGGGAGGCAGCAGUAGGGAAUCUUCGGCAAUGGACGGAAGUCUGACCGAGCAACGCCGCGUGAGUGAAGAAGGUUUUCGGAUCGUAAAGCUCUGUUGUACGAGAAGAACGAGUGUGAGAGUGGAAAGUUCACACUGUGACGGUAUCUUACCAGAAAGGGACGGCUAACUACGUG
rnacentral:rRNA from 1 species